GACGAACGCUGGCGGCGUGCUUAACACAUGCAAGUCGAACGGGAUAAUUUGAGAGCUUGCUCUUAGAGAAUCUAGUGGCAAACGGGUGAGUAACACGUAGACAACCUGCCGACAGGAUGGGGACAACAUUCCGAAAGGAAUGCUAAUACCGAAUGAAGCUGAGGAGAGGCAUCUCUCCUCCGUGAAAGAUGGCCUCUGAAUAUGCUAUCACCUGUCGAUGGGUCUGCGUCGGAUUGGCUAGUAGGUGCGGUAACGGCUCACCAAGGCGACGUUCAGUAGCCGGUCUGCGAGGAUGAACAGCCGCAUUGGGACUGAGACACGGCCCAGACGCCUACGGGAGGCAGCAGUGGGGAUUCUGCAGCAAUGAGCGCAAGCCAGACGGAGCAACGCGGAGUGAGUGAGGAAGGACUUCGGAUCGUGGAGCUCUGUUGACGGGGACGAACGUGCGAAGGGUGAAUAAUCCUUUGUAAUGACGGUACCUGGCGAGGAAGCCACGGCUAACUACGUG
rnacentral:rRNA from 1 species